rnacentral:lncRNA from 1 species
UAUCAUUAACUCUGUCAUUAACAAACCAAAGUUUGGUUUGAAUAUUUGAGCUACUAGUGAAUCCUGGCUCAUACCAUUUGAAUUAAGUAGUCAUGAUGUAAUGGAGGCAAAGUGAAGGUCACUCCAAAUAGUUCCCCAUGGCUAAACAUAUUUGCUUUGUGUAGCAACAAAGUUGAAUCAUAUUUAAUUCUCAAAGGGGGGAGGUAUUCCUUGAUUGCAAAAUAGUAGGUGGAGCUGGCCACUCGACAUGACUAACUUAAGGUGUGCUGUUUUACUGGUUAGACUUUUGUUGCUGCUCUAGAAGUGGGAAAGGUGUAAAUAAAUUGUGUCAGGUCUCUGUACUUGAAAGCUCCAGCAAGCAUAACAGGCGGGAAUUACCCAAAUGUUUUCUGUAAAUGUAGCCAAGCAUUUUAAGCUAAACUCUUCAAAUUGAGAACCAUAGUGACUCAUGGAUACAGGCCUUAUAAAUCCUUAUUAAAUCAAAUGAAUGCAGC